rnacentral:lncRNA from 1 species
CGCGUUAAUGGAAUCACUUCAGUUCCUGUAUUCCGAAGUGCCGCUGUGAUGGGGCCGUUUUUUGAGAAAUGCUAGAAAAGGGGUAACUCGAAUAAUUCAAGCCCUUUCCGUGUCCGAUUUUCUCCCACAAGAGUUAAUGUAGCCUUCGUAGAUGAGCGGAAUAUAACGACUGAAUUAUUCGGGUUAGGAAAGGGGAACACUUCAGUUCCUUUAUACAGAAGUGCCGCUGUGAUGGGGCCGUUUUUGAGAUGUCAAAU